rnacentral:lncRNA from 1 species
CCGCAGAUUGUCCUUUCUGGGACGUAUAUCCAUGUGGCGACUGUCAUGCUUCUGGCAUACAACAGUUAUGCUUUGGGAAUGCAAUAGUUUAGUAGUGUCAUAUUCUUCUUCUUUCGAAUGAAUGAACCUUUUGAGUGUAAGGGUCUGCCACGCUUCAGGCGUGCAAUAGAUAAAUCAUUUACUGCCUCAUUAUAUUUUGUCCAACAAGGAAAUCAAUUCUUGUAGUCACAUUUGCAGCAGGUGUAUAUGAUUUCAUCACUUUCGUUGCAUCAUUCAAUUAUUCUUACUUCAUUUUCUCAUUGAUUGCUUCGUGAAUCAAAAUAAAACAAAUUCUCUUCGUUCUUCUGGAACGGUCUUUUCUUAUCAUUCUUCUGGAAUGAUAUUUUCUCAUCAUUCUUCUGGAACAAUGUUAUUUUCUCCCCCUAAUGGCGGGAAAACUGUCUUAUCAAAAUCAUAGUUCGUAAAUCAUGCGGUAAAUAUAUCCCAAAUCAAGAUAAAUUCCCAGUUUGUAUUGAUGGUGGAUCGAAUUCAACAUAAAUUCCUAGUUUGUAUUGAUGCCUUAUUUUAGUACGUUGUGGUAGUCUUACAGGCACAGAUAACACAACCAAAAACUCGUAAAUGUUAAUGUUUGGCUGGUGCCCAAACACGAGUUGUACUGAGAAAUAUUGAUGGUUGGCAACUGGUCUCAACCAAACUUAAUAAUGAAUUAUGUAAAAUGGUAUGUCCACAUGUAGAAAACUUGCAAUUUCGUUUUCAUGAGUAGAGUGCGGGUAAUCAAUUUCAUCCACU